rnacentral:piRNA from 1 species
UUUCGAAAAAAAAGGCGUUCU